AGCGAACGCUGGCGGCAGGCCUAACACAUGCAAGUCGAACGAAGUCUUUGGGCUUAGUGGCGGACGGGUGAGUAACACGUGGGAACGUGCCUUUAGGUUCGGAAUAACUCAGGGAAACUUGUGCUAAUACCGAAUGCGCCCUUCGGGGGAAAGAUUUAUCGCCUUUAGACCGGCCCGCGUCUGAUUAGCUAGUUGGUGAGGUAAAGGCUCACCAAGGCGACGAUCAGUAGCUGGUCUGAGAGGAUGAUCAGCCACAUUGGGACUGAGACACGGCCCAAACUACUACGGGAGGCAGCAGUGGGGAAUCUUGCGGAAUGGGCGAAAGCCUGACGCAGCCAUGCCGCGUGAAUAAUGAAGGGCUUAGGAUUGUAAAAUUCUUUCACCGGGGACGAUAAUGACGGUACCCGGAGAAGAAGACCCGGCUAACUUCGUGCCAGCCGCCGCCGUAAGAC
rnacentral:rRNA from 1 species